UCGGUCCCUGUAGUCAGUGUGCCGGUCCGGUCCCGGUUCUAAACUUUGAAAUACAUAAAACCCAUUGGGCCCGAAUUAUGCAUCAUUCUUUAACAUUUUUUAUUUUUUUAUCCAUCAUUCUCUCUCCUAUGUCUCAUUAUUCCUCACGACUUCACUUUUCUUCUUUCUCUUUCAUCUUCCUCUUCCAUCAAUCAUUAUGUCUCCCAUUUCAUUUUGUCUCCUCUUUAUCUUAUUCUUCUCUUUUUAUUCUUUCUUUCCCAUCUCCCUCUUCCCUCAGUGGCUUAGUUCGGCAGUUCCUCUCCCUCAAUUCCUCUCCCUCAGUUCCUCCACACUUGGUUCAUCUUCUCUGUUGGUGGAAGUGCAGUCUCCAAACCCAACCCAGAUCGGAAACUAGUUGAGGUUUCAGAUUUGAACGCUAUGGUCUCUGUGGCCAAACCUUUCAAUUUGUCUCUUUAUCGAGAUCUCUUAAAGGCUCUGGCUAGAACCUGAAAUUCGGAGCUUUCACAUCUCAAAGUCUCUAGAUCAAACCAAACCGACGAUAACCAUCGGCGAUGUUCUGAUCUUGAUCAGUUGAUUUUUAAUUUUUAAUUUUGUAGAAGUUAGAUCUGUUGGUGAUAUUGUUCAGUUGAUAACUAUGUAAACAUGGAACUUUUGGUGGUUUGAUUGUUGUUUGCUGCAUUUUUGCCCAAAAAUGGAGCACUGCUGAAAAAUCUGCCAGGAACCGAAAGCCCGGAGAAACCGACCCGUUUGUCACGGUCCGGGUUGAGGCCGGUCUCUAUGUCUGUCAUGUGCAAACCCGGCCCGAACUUAACUCUGCUAGUCCGGUCCCGGUCCCUGUAAAUGUCGUGCCGGUCUGGGACCGUGCCCAGCCCUACUGAUAUAUCACAUUCUCUCAUAUUUUUUUCUACCUCAAAAUCUAUUUCUCCUAUCUGACCUACCCGUCUCUCUGCUAGGGUUUGAGAAACCUCUCCUUUAUAACGGCGGCUUCUCCGAUUUCCUCUAUUGCUCUCCAAUAGAGGCUAUGGCCUUUCUCUGGCUACUUCUUCUCUCCUUCAUUGCUUUGGGUGACGAUGUUCCUGUGGUAGUUUCGAGUUUUAGUGGCAAUGGUGGAUCCGAACUUGAUGAUUUUGCUUGGUGGGUAGACUGGAUGCUGAUUGGGUUGAGAUGAGGUCCACGUACGUGGUGCUAUCCAGAUCGGGGCCAAGCGAUGGUGGAAAGGAUUGGGUUUUUCAGCCCAAUCUCAUUGAAAGUUCUCUAGCAAAGGCUGGCUGACUCGUAGCAAACUAUGCUACUGGGUCUGCUGCUCUAUACGGUGGUGUAACGGCUGGAGUUCCUGAUUGUUUUAGUUGGACCCAGAUUGCUACGUUUUGCUCGGGUUGUAGUCCUUUGAUGGCAGUGAUGAUGGUGGAUGGCUCUCGCUCGUCGGAGGAGCCGAUUUGCUGGCGCCGGCAUGGUGAUAGAAGAUGAGGUUGUCCAUGUUGUGGCAAUUGGACGGAGGAAGCUGUUGCGCUCCCAUCAAUAGGCUGAGCCUAAUUUCUGGCAUUUUGGGCUAGCUUAGGGCCCGUUGAUCCAGGGUGGGCUAUCCCUGCUCAUCCCAAAGAAUGGAGUGGUUGGGCCUUUCGGGCCUUAAACUCGGGUGUAGGGCUUCUGUUUGGGCUCUUGCUUUGGUUUACCUCUUUGGUGUGGGAUUGGCUAGAUUGGGGCUCUAGGGCCUAUAGUACUAUCUAAAUUUUUCUUCGGUCGCAAACACUAGUGCUCGGUUGAAAACAUUUAUUAAUUAGCUUAUGAGCAUCUAGUUUUGUUAGAAUAAUGGUGAGUGGACUUCC